GAUGUGAGGUGUAGGGUCUAGGAUUUCAAUUCUAAAUUUUAUAAGAAGAAAAAUAUAAGAGUGAGUCUUGUUUAAUCUUUCACACCACCAUCUCCUUGUAAAGAUUCAUCUUCUGAUUUAGAAGAGUCUGAGAGAUCCAAAGAAAGAAGCUUGGGUUAGCCAUCUAGAGCCUUCAAUGCGAGCUAGCACUCCCGUGAAGAAAGAUCCGAUCAGGACUUCGAGUGGAUGAUCUGUAGAGAUCGGAUGACCUAUGCAGCUGCUCAAUAUCAGCAAGAGCUUUAUACUAUACCUAACCACAGUG
rnacentral:lncRNA from 1 species